rnacentral:lncRNA from 1 species
UCCGUAGGAGUCGCCGUCUUCUUUCUCUUCUCCCCCGAAAAACAUCACCGCGCUUUCCCCCACCAACUUAAAAAAACCCCAACCCCAACCCCAACACCUCCGCUUCCGCACAACACAAAAUUCCCCAUCCCACCCUCUCAAUCUCAUCCUCCCCACCCCACCCAACCCGCCCGUCGCCGUCGUCGUCGUCUUCUCCACCGUGGUUCAAAAAUCCCUCCCCUCGCGCCCAAAUUCCCAAACCCUAGCCGGGCCCGGUCCGCCGCCGGCGUGGGGCUGCCUCGCUCCGCCGGAUCCGUCCAGCGGAACAUGCGGGAUCCCGGACCAUGGCGACCGGACCCGAUCUGAGCUCACCCGCCGCCGCC